rnacentral:lncRNA from 1 species
GAUUUCAUUCUUUUUUUAUGGCUGAGUAAUAUUCCAUUGUAUGUCUAUGUUUUCUCUCUAUAACAUCAUCUUCAUCCACUCCUCUGCUAAUGGGUGUUUAGGUUGCUUCCAUGGCUUGGCUAUUGUAUUCAGGGCUGCUGUGCAUGUGGGAGCAUGUGUAUCUAUUGGAAUUAAUAUUUUCGUCUUUUCCAGGUACAUGCUCAGGAAUGCGAUUGCUAGCUGAGAGUGAUUUACAGUGUUCUAUCAGCUACAGGUGUACAAUAUUGCGAUACAGUGUUUUUAUAAAUGAUGCCCCAUUUAAGGUUAUUGUAAAAUCUCCAGAGUUCCCUGGUGGUGCACUGGGUCAAGGAUCUGGUGCUGUCACUGCAGUGGCUCAGGUUGCUGCCAUGGUGCAGGUUCGAUCCUUGGCAUGGGAACUUCCACAUGCUAUGGGUGCACCAAAAACAAAUAACUAAAAAUCUCGAAGUUAUUUUCCAACAGCAUGAAGUGACUCCUGACCCUGGCCAUGGCAGAAGCAGCCGGUGGUAGCCUUGUUCUUUAACAGGUUACAGCCAGAAAUGCUGGGUGAGACAUGGAAGGCGGUGGUCUGAGACCUCUGCAUCGGGUGGACAGUCAGGACUUAAAGCAAUGACACCACCAGGUUGAAGAGAGUCUCCCCCAAAUCUGUGUCCCUGGAAUCUCAGAAGAUGACCUGUCUUUGUGAAUGUCACAGGAGCCUCUCAGCCUUGGUCCCAUUUAUGGAAGAACAAAUCCAAGAGCCGUUUUCUUUGCACCUUCCUGAUGUUCAAGCACAAUGUUGCAGUGACUUUGUGUGUCAUGACACAUCGGCUGUGGUUUCAGGAGUUGGUCUGAAACAGCACGUGAAUCCUGGACCAGCUUCCGCUGGUCUGGCCCCUUCAGUGGGUUGUUGAUUGCUUACCUUGAAACGGCACCCGCUUCAACUGGUUUUGCCACCUUGAGGAGGUUGCUGAUUCAUCAAAUCUUGAGUUAUUUUACAAGGACAACCUGGUACCUGUUCAAGACAGAAGCCCACAUCUCCAGGACGACCCCAGAACCAUGAAUCUUCUGUCUGCAGAAACUAAAGAAUAGAAAAGUUGCCGGUGCCACCCUUGACGAGGCGGGAACUCUUUCAAUGGGGAGCAUCUGGCUUCAGCCACAGGGGUAGCAUCUGUGGCCUGACUCAAGACUAGCCAAUCAGCUUCCCCAACUCCUUGAACUCCACCCAGCCUCUGGAUGGAGGAGACAGGUUGGAGAGCCUUGCUUCUGGGCUCCUUGCUGGUUGACCGCACGACAACGCUCUUCCUCUUACUAAAGCUGGUGCCGUGGGUUGGCUUCUGUGCGUGUCCGACGGGGAGCCUCUGCUCGGUGACAAAUCUGACCGUUUCUCAUGUGCCCAGUCGCCUGAGCAUCGGGCGUCUCAGCCAGUACGCCCUCUACACACCCCACUGGCUGCUCAGGAGGUCUGAGAUGUGUGUCCCCGAGGGAUGACGGAACGCUGGUGCUAUUUUUCAUCAGGCUGUUGUGCAGGAUCCCUCUUCGUCCACCGGACGCAAAGGUGUGGGGUCAGGAGAUGCAAACUAGGACACGGAGAAUGGAUGAGCAAAGAGGUCCUGCUGUCCCACACAGGGAACUCUGUCCAGUCUCUUGGGAUAGACCAGGAUGGAAGAUGAUAAGAGAAAAAGAAGCACCUGCCUGGAUUGGGUGUAAAGGAUCCUGAGAGCGACAGCUUGUGACGUCCUCCUGAGUGAUGCUGAGGUGAUGCAGUCCCGUCGUCUUCAGCCUGCAAAGCCAUCUUGCCCAAGAAGCCCCAUUCCCGGGGCAUCCGGCCAUACGAGAAAGGCUGCCAGGGCUAAAGACGUUACAGACGAAGCACCUACCUUCCUGAAGCCUGUGACUCCCGACGGCGUCCCUGGAGGACGUCCCGGCGUGAAGGCUGGACGCUGUCCUGUACGGGGCUCCAUCCACACGGCCUUUCCUGCUUCUCAAGGCUCCGUCUUGAGACCUGCCUGGGCACAUCCACACUUGUGGAGCCAGAGGCAGCCUCAGGGUCUGAACGCUGGCACCUGUCUGUGGAGCAGCCGGGAUUCCUCGGGGAAAAGAGAAACAGGUUCCGAUUAUUUUAGGUACUGAUGUGGCCGUGACUGCAGCAUGUGGAAGUUCCCAGACUAUAGGGGUUGAAUCGGAGCUGCAGCUGCCCGUCUACACCGCAGCCAUGUGGGAUCCAAGCCACUUCUGUGACCUACACCACAGCUCACGACAGAGGCCAGAUCCUUAACCCAGGGAGUCCCCAUACCUCUCAUGAGAAGAUCUCCUGAGCAGUUCCCUGAGGCCGACGGAAAGGGGAACUGCCUGGGCGGACACCGGUCUCGCUGGGAAACUGAUGGUUGGUUCCGACGUGGCAGCGGCUUUGAGAGUUUUUAGAGAUUCCCCGAGAGAAAUCACUCUCUGCCAUCAAAUGACCACAGCAGAAUGACCGCAGUGCUCACAGCGCUAAGACUUCCCGCGAAGCCGUCUGCUCUGCUCCUGGGACGUCAGGUCAUAGGAGCUGGAAGGACCUCGCCGUCUCGGUGACAGUGACUACAAUUGGGAUUAACUUUCGGAGCAGAUGCUCGAUGGCUGCCUCCCACCUCUGUCACUGACGACUUACUUUCCAGGCAACCUCCCACCCUGGGUGCACGUGCCCACUGCCCUGCACGGAUGCACACAUGCAGACACAGACAUGUACAGAGAUGACACAUACACACCUGUACACACACGCUCACAUAAAGACACACUUGUAGACACAUGCAUACACAAAACAUACAACAUGGGCAGACAUGCACAGACACGCAGAAACAGAUACACACAUGCACAAAGACUCACACAUAACGCACAAGACCACACCCUCACACGGACACCCCUGUGCACACAGUGAGUUCUCUAGAAUCCAAAAACCACUCUCCUGCCUUCUCUUUAACCAAGUUCAAAAACUACAGAUUUAUGUCCUUUCAUUUUUCUGAAUUGAAAAUACAACCAACAGUUCCCAGGUUCAGAUG